rfam:Rattus norvegicus chromosome 18, whole genome shotgun sequence.
GGGGAUUUAGCUCAGUGGUAGAGCGCUUGCCUGCCUAGCAAGCGCAAGGCCCUGGGUUCGGUCCCCAGCUCCG